GAUGUACUCCCUCUGUCCGAAAAUACUUGUCAUCAAAAUAAAAAAAAAAGGAUAUAUCUAAAUUUAUUUUAGUUGGAGAUACAUCUCUUUUUGUUUAUUUUGAUGACAAGUAUUUUUGGACGGAGGGAGUAUAUC
rfam:Triticum aestivum genome assembly, contig: Triticum_aestivum_CS42_TGACv1_scaffold_050587_1BS